GACAUUAUAGCUCAGGAGUAGAGCACUUGUCUAGUAUGCACAAGGCCCUGCCCUGGGUUCGAUUUCCAAUAUUGUCA
rnacentral:tRNA from 1 species